AAGAAUGCAACUCUUAAUGUUCACACCUGCAAAUAACUAAAAUAAACGUGAGGGUGCAACGUCUAGGCUCGUUUAUAGACUCAUGCUUUGAUGCCUUAAUUUUGCACAUCUUGUCUUACUUGAACGCUCAUUUGAGUGUGUGGACAAACUAAUUCAAAAUGAGUUACAUGCCGAGUAUGUGUGAGAUAAUAGUUGUAUUCUGUGGUUGCAUGCGAUGCCUAGAACUUGCCAUGUGUGUUUGCAAAGCGAAAUAGAAGUUGUUUGGUUUUAGAGAUGAUUGAGGCAUUUCUUUGUGUUGCUUGUAUGAUUGUGAAUUCACCAGUGCAUAUUACCAUAGUUAACCCCUUCCAACCUGAAACCUAUUCUUUGAUAACCUUAUAAUAACCUACAUCCUUGUAUUUCAAUAGUUUGACUGUUUGAACUCAUACCUCCUAGAAGCACUUGAAUUAUUAAAGAGCAUAUAAAAGUCAAAGUGUGAGGUGGUAGUGGAGUAGAAAAAGGUAAUCACAAAAAUUACUUGAAUGGUG
rnacentral:lncRNA from 1 species